GUGCCAGACUCCUACGGGAGGCAGCAGUGGGGGAUAUUGCACAAUGGGGGAAACCCUGAUGCAGCGACGCCGCGUGGGUGAAGAAGCGCCUCGGCGCGUAAAGCCCUGUCAGCAGGGAAGAAAAUGACGGUACCUGAAGAAGAAGCCCCGGCUAACUACGUGCCAGCAGCCGCGGUAAUACGUAGGGGGCAAGCGUUAUCCGGAUUUACUGGGUGUAAAGGGGGCGCAGACGGCGAUGCAAGCCAGGAGUGAAAGCCCGGGGCCCAACCCCGGGACUGCUCUGGAAACUGCGUCGCUGGAGUACGGGAGGGGCAGGCGGAAUUCCUGGUGUAGCGGUGAAAUGCGUAGAUAUCAGGAGGAACACCGGUGGCGAAGGCGGCUUACUGGACCAUGACUGACGUUGAGGCUCGAAAGCGUGGGGAGCGAACAGGAUUAGAUACCCGCGUAC
rnacentral:rRNA from 1 species